GACGAACCGUGCGAACGUUGUUCGGAAUCACUGGGCUUAAAGGGAGCGUAGGCGGGCUAUCAAGUCUGGGGUAAAUCCCGCGGCUCAACCGCGGAACUGCCUCAGAUACUGACGGCCUCGAGGGAGAUAGGGGCAUGCGGAACUGUAGGUGGAGCGGUGAAAUGCGUUGAUAUCUACAGGAACUCCGGUGGCGAAAGCGGCGUGCUGGAUCUCUUCUGACGCUGAGGCUCGAAAGCUAGGGGAGCAAACGGG
rnacentral:rRNA from 1 species